UGGGGAAUAUUGCACAAUGGGCGAAAGCCUGAUGCAGCAACGCCGCGUGAGUGAUGAAGGUCUUCGGAUUGUAAAGCUCUGUCUUUUGGGACGAUAAUGACGGUACCAAAGGAGGAAGCCACGGCUAACUACGUGCCAGCAGCCGCGGUAAUACGUAGGUGGCGAGCGUUGUCCGGAUUUACUGGGCGUAAAGGGUGCGUAGGCGGAUGUUUAAGUGAGAUGUGAAAUACCCGGGCUUAACUUGGGUGCUGCAUUUCAAACUGGAUAUCUAGAGUGCAGGAGAGGAGAAUGGAAUUCCUAGUGUAGCGGUGAAAUGCGUAGAGAUUAGGAAGAACACCAGUGGCGAAGGCGAUUCUCUGGACUGUAACUGACGCUGAGGCACGAAAGCGUGGGUAGCAAACAGGAUUAGAUACCCUGGUAGUCCACGCCGUAAACGAUGAGUACUAGGUGUAGGAGGUAUCGACCCCUUCUGUGCCGCAGUAAACAC
rnacentral:rRNA from 1 species